AUGAUGGCACAGGCAUGAAAGAGCCCAGAGCUCGUCGCUGGGGAGAGGCUGCGUAUGGCGUUGUGAAGGGAGAGAUGGAGGAGGGGUUUGAGCAGCGCUGUGCAGGAAUGAACGGCUGGCAGGAGUCGGGCAGCGGUACUGCAGCUCCUCUGGCAGCUUUGCAGCUCAGUUGGGAAGCAGAAGAUGUGGAUGUGAAAGAAGAAGUCCGUUGCUGGGACGUUCCCCUGUUCUUCCCCCAGCUGUCCCCUUGCUUUCCACAAGGCUGCCCUUUCCUUUCUCAUGACAGCCCACCCAUCAUUCCCUCAGAGCCCCAAUGUCCCCCCCAGUGUUUCCCAGCAAGACCCCUAGAGACACCCUGUAGCCCCGCACAGAGCCCUGGAGCCCCUCAAGGACCCCCUCAGACCCAGUACACCUCCCCCGUAGCUGGCCCAUACCCACAUGGAGCCCCACAGUCCCCAGCAGCACCCCAUGUCCCCCUCUGGACAUGGGAAUUCUCCUAUUCCAUUCCACGGAAUCCUCCUAUUUCCUCCCUCAGAGCUCCUUUACACCUCCAAGAUCCCCCCUGGGAACUCACUGAUCCCCAUGGUCCCUGACAGGACCCCAUCACCAUCCCAGGACCCUCGUAGCCC
rnacentral:lncRNA from 1 species